rnacentral:sRNA from 1 species
AGUGGCUAUGAGCCAGAAAGUAUGGCUGUUUUUUUUUUUUUCUCUACAACUUCUGCUAUAUAGUAACUUCAUCUCAUACAUUUGUUAGGCAAACCUGUAUGUGGGACUGGUGGUCAUGUGUGGCUUUGUCCUUUUUGAUACUCAACUCAUUAUUGAAAAGGCCGAACAUGGAGAUCAAGAUUAUAUCUGGCACUGCAUUGAUCUCUUCUUAGAUUUCAUUACUCUCUUCAGAAAACUCAUGAUGAUCCUGGCCAUGAAUGAAAAGGAUAAGAAGAAAGAGAAGAAAUGAAGUGACCAUCCAGCCUUUCCCAAUUUGAUUUCUCCUUCCACCCCUCAUUUCCUUUUUGCACACAUUACAGGUGGUGUGUUCUGUGAUAAUGAAAAGCAUCAGAAAAGCUUUUGUACUUUGUGGUUUCCUCUAUUUUGAAUUUUUUGAUCAAAAAACUGAUUAGCAGAAUAUAGUUUGGAGUUUGGCUUCAUCUUC